AUUGAACGCUGGCGGCAGGCCUAACACAUGCAAGUCGAGCGAGCGGCGGACGGGUGAGUAAUGCCUGGGAAUUGCCCAGUCGAGGGGGAUAACAGUUGGAAACGACUGCUAAUACCGCAUACUGUUGGAUUGCCCAGGUGGGAUUAGCUCGUUGGGGAGGUAAUGGCUAACAAAGGCGACGAUCCCUAGCUGGUCUGAGAGGGUGAUCAGCCACACUGGAACUGAGACACGGUCCAGACUCCUACGGGAGGCAGCAGUGGGGAAUAUUGCACAAUGGGGGAAACCCGGAGACAGCCAUGCCGCGGGUGUGAAGAAGGCCUUCGGGUUGUAAAGCACUUUAAGUUGGGAGGCGUUACCAACAGAAUAAGCACCGGCUAACUUCGUGCCAGCAGCCGCGGUAAUAC
rnacentral:rRNA from 1 species